UUCAUAUUCUCUACCAGAUGCCUGUUAGUUCCAGUCAGUUACAUGCCAACAUUCUCGACUACACCUAUUUUCCAUUACAUCCAAGCGUCUAGACUUUGAUUUGAAGCACAGAUGUAAGCAAGGAGUGAUGCAUGAACUGAACUACUCUACAAGGAGCCUUAGCAGUGGCAGACAAAGAACAUAUGAAGUGACCACCCCAACAUACAACCCUUAUAUACAGAUGCAAGACUGUGACCAAAAAAAGACACUACGUGCAAAACCUGAAAUCCUUUGGAACCUUCCAGGGUCCCCAUAUGGAAGAUGGGUAACACCAGAAAGCUUGAU